UGGCGGGGAGGGUCGGGAGAUUAGCCGUCUCCCAUAGACUGAAACCGGCUAUACGCAGAGGCCAGUAACCGUUGGGUCAAGCCAUCUCUCCUUCUACCUACGCACUUCGGUGGGUUGAUCUCACGCCGGAGCGGGUGGUCGUGAGGGGCAGACUCCUCGAAGGAGGGGUCCUGACUCUGGAUUGCCGAACCGGGCGAGGUCCGGGAGGGAGCAGCCCUAAGGUGACGCGGUUACGCUGCUCCGUCUACGUGGGGGACCGACGACUGUGCGGGAUUGGGGGAGGACGAGGCGACGAAUACCGGCGGAGCUGCCA
rnacentral:SRP_RNA from 1 species